CGCUUACGACGGAUCGACGCAGGCCGACCAAGGAUGGCGGGCCAGGGACAGUCGCAAGAUCGCGGCUACUUCAUCAGGAUGAUGAACCCAGGGAUGCGGUUGAACGACAUGAAGCGGCGAGGCUAACCCCCUCGCCGUUUUUGU
rnacentral:sRNA from 1 species